UAGGGAAUCUUCCGCAAUGGGCGAAAGCUUGACGGAGCAACGCCGCGUGAGUGAUGAAGGUCUUCGGAUCGUAAAACUCUGUUAUUAGGGAAGAACAAAUGUGUAAGUAACUAUGCACGUCUUGACGGUACCUAAUCAGAAAGCCACGGCUAACUACGUGCCAGCAGCCGCGGUAAUACGUAGGUGGCAAGCGUUAUCCGGAAUUAUUGGGCGUAAAGCGCGCGUAGGCGGUUUUUUAAGUCUGAUGUGAAAGCCCACGGCUCAACCGUGGGGGGUCAUUGGAAACUGGAAAACUUGAGGGCAGAAGAGGAAAGUGGAAUUCCAUGUGUAGCGGUGAAAUGCGCAGAGAUAUGGAGGAACACCAGUGGCGAAGGCGACUUUCUGGUCUGUAACUGACGCUGAUGUGCGAAAGCGUGGGGAUCAAACAGG
rnacentral:rRNA from 1 species